rnacentral:rRNA from 1 species
CGAUGAAGGACGGGACGAACACCGAUAUGCUUCGGGGAGCUGUAAGCAAGCUUUGAUCCGGAGAUUUCCGAAUGGGGAAACCCACUGCUCGUAAUGGAGUAGUAUCCAUACUUGAAUACAUAGAGUAUGAGAAGGCAUACCCGGGGAACUGAAACAUCUAAGUACCCGGAGGAAGAGAAAGCAAAUGCGAUUCCCUGAGUAGCGGCGAGCGAAACGGGAACAGCCCAAACCAAGAGGCUUGCCUCUUGGGGUUGUARGACACUCUAUACGGAGUUACAAAGGAACGAUAUAAGCGAAGAGGUCUGGAAAGGCCCGCCAAAGAAGGUAACAGCCCUGUAACUGAAUGUUGUUCUCUCCAGAGUGGAUCCUGAGUACGGCGGAACACUGAAUUCCGUCGGAAYCCGGGAGGACCAUCUCCCARGGSKAAAUAUCCCUAAUGACCG